GCUUCAUUCCCGCGGUUCAAAUCAGAUAAGAUACAACAUGUUUGCAGUGACUACUCGUCUAAUUUGUCGGUAUGAUAGCGCCAUGUGUCUGGUUAGUUUAAAAAAAAUGACGGCUAGGGCUGGAUAAUGAAAUAACAGCACCCUUUAUCGUCAGUUAAAAGAACAGUAGGCCUAAAUUAAACUCUAAAGACUUUAUUUACACUAAAUACGACCUAUUUUGGAGGACUUGCUGAUGUAAUGUCCCACCUGCUUACAUUAUCCAAAUGUCCUACAUUUAGACAGACUGACAGUUUAGAUGAGGUAGUGAAUGAGUUGUUUCUGUCUCUUUGAAAAAUGUGCUCAAGGUCUUCAGAAACUCCUUCAUAUGUCUUCGGUCGCCCAGAGAUAUGGAUUAAUGGCUUGUUGUCAUCUGUGGGCACUGUGUGGUUCUAAACACGUCAGAUGUGGUGGUGUUGGAGCAAGGACUGACCUGCAGCUGGGCUGAAAGAAGCGUGACUGACAUGUGCCUUACAUCAGUGGAGGAUGAUGGACAAGAGAUGCAGCUCAGCCACAUUCCUUCUCUCUCUCGCUCUCUCUGUGAACCAGAGCGAGGUGAGCGAGGACUGAAGCGUCGCUCCAGUUCUGUCCUGUUCCCAGCUCUCCUCUCUCCCACACAGAGACCCACACCCAGCCCAGUCCAUCUGCACCGACAGGCACCUCAGCUGGGCGAGCGGCAGCACCAGCCUCCCUCUUCUGUUCAGACUUCAGCCAUGCCAACAAAGUGCCUCCAGCACUUAAAGCCCCAAGCGUUACAGAUGAAGGCAGAUCCGCUGUAGUGACACCGUUCAUCAAGAGAGCCGCUUUACGUGGGCUCCGUUUGUUUGCUGCACAGAGAUGUGCUGAGUAGCUGGCCGUCUUUAAUGUGUGCAGACGGCGACGGAGAGACAUGAGCCAAUCCAGCCAUCUUGUACUGAGGAUUCAGGGCUGGACAAGCGUUUGCCAUCUGUAGCUGCGGCAAUGCGUGAGUCUGCAGCCAGCCCACAUUGUGUCAGCAGCAGCCCUGGUACUGAGAAUUUUUUUUUUUUCUUUUUUAAGAUGGCUUUCGAGAUGUCUCACCCCUUUCUGUUGUACACUAUCACCCACUAAUGGAGCAUGAACUUUUAUGGGGUGACAUCAAUUACUUCAAAAGAUUUAAUGAGUGUAAAUGAUUUAUCUUAAGUGCAAAAGAGGAACCGGGAAAGAGCUCAUUAUGUAGUCAGUGAUUAUCACCUGCAUAUUAAGUGUUGUUAAUAGUUAUGGAAAUCCUUGGGUUACACUACACUGGAAGUGUCAUUGUGGGGGCUCAACAUGCCUGAAAAUCUUCAAUAAUGAGGCCAUUGUUUGGGCAGAAAUUGUGAACGUUUAUUUUUAAGCAUUUAAAAUGAUAGCUGGAGUGAGCGCUGGGAUAUUUAAACACUUUGUGACGGUGACAUCAUGAUGGACUGUUUACAUUAUAAUGUCUGAUAUCAUAAAAUGUCUUAUUUGUUUUAUGCAACAGUUAAACAUGGCUGCUCACUUUCAGAAGUUGUAGUGAUGUUUACUUUUCCAGGAAAUAAUAUGAAACAUAUGUUGGUUAAAACAUUUUAAAUGUAAACAUUACCAUUCACCAGAGUAAUGCUGAGGUCAAAGAGCUUAGAAUGACCAAGAGGCGACACUCAAUAGAAUGUUCCAUUGCAAAAGCAGCGCCCAGCAACAUUCCCGGAUUCCGCCAUUUUGGAGUGAAUUCGAUCGGCUGUCCAUCAAAUCUUAUUGGUUUCAUGAUGGCAAGCAGAUGCUUGGUUUUUUAUUUAUUUUAAAAAAGAGCAUUAAAACUGAGAUACAACCUGAAAGACGACAAUAAAACACUUACUAUCACAAUCAUCUGCACUUUUAAUAGUUUAUUUUGCAGAUUUAUAAUAUGCUGUUGCUUUAUUGGAAUUUUCAUUCCAAAAUGGCCGCCGUGCCAUCUAGUGGCUGUUUCCCAAAUCGCACUGGAGUGUCGCCUCUUGGUGAUUCUAUGCUUUUUUGAUUUUUAAGGCUUGGUUGUGUUUAUAAGAUGCAAAGCAAUGUGUCACAUCACAUUAUUUUUUAUAUAUCUGACUUUGAUUAUAUGCUGCUACUCAGCUAACAUGAAAAUGAUUGUCAUAUUUCCUUGUUUCUCCACAAGACCACCCUCAAGAGGCUUUGAUUGGUCAGCUAACAUAAUGUGAUUAGUGAAUUUGCUCAAUGCCUCCAAUAGCACAGUGUAUGCCUCUUUUGUGUCAGUCAGAGUAGCUGUUAGCUGUAUCAGUUUGAGCUUGAUUGAGACAGAAUGAAGAGGACAGUGCUGAACCUCAUUUCUUCUCUCUAAAAUACAAACUGACAAGUGUCUUUCACAUAUGUUCGUAAUAAGCUUGUGUAAGUAAAAUUAAACGUUCACAUAUCUUUUGUGAGUUUGUUAUUUGAGAUGCAGAAUGCAGGGAAAGUGGCUGCGUAGACAGACACUGCAGUGCUGGGGAAGAUUGUGGGUGUUUAUAGGGAUUUGGAUGGAUAAAUAUGAAUUUGUAGAUAAAGUGUAACAGUGCCAAACAGCAUUUCCCAUAGUUUACAUCCUUGUUUAUGUCCUUGCUAA
rnacentral:lncRNA from 1 species